ensembl:lncRNA LINC03000 long intergenic non-protein coding RNA 3000
GUGCAAAGGCAGAGGCUGUGGGAGCAGCAUCAAGCAAGACUUCGGGCAGUGAUUCUAACUAUUGCCUAUGAACACCGUGGCUGGGACGACUUUGACGAGGCAAUUUAUUACUUACGCAUAGAACACUGGCUGUGCUGAAACUGGGAGCGCAAACAGCCCCUUGUUUUCUAAUUUAGAGACUUGCAUCUUUUCGACACUCAACAGUAUCAAGACACUCUGCUACUACAGAUUGAUUUCCACCAUCAACACCUUUACCUCUUCCCGCCUGAAAAUAAAAUAUGAAAUAUAACAAGUAAAUCGCAAUCUACCUUGGGAAAUCAUCUUUCGGGAAUUUAUCUAAGAAGAACUUCUUAUGAUAUAUGAAGUCUGGGGGUAAGACCUGCAGUAAUUUCCCUUAAGAUAAGGCAGAAGGAUCCAGCUGAGAACCCUACUCCAAUGGCUGUUCUUCCCCUCUCCCAGUCCUGUUCCUUGAAGGGAUCCUUUCUCAACCCUCUCUCUCAUUAUUUUUGUCUCCUAGUGGUCACCAACAUAUUUUACUUUUAGGAGCCAAAGUUCAGGUAUUUUUCUUCCAAUGGAAUAAAUUAAUUUUGUGGUAAACGCUUAGUCUUAUUUCACAAACGGUACAGAAUAUAUAGCUCAGGUCUCUGAAUCAAAUUAAUCAAAAUAUAACCUACUCUCAAGCGAGUCCUAACUUAUGGCAGUAAUAGAGUUGUAGAAGAUCCAAAACUAUUUCUUAUUACACUGCCCCUAUGAAAUGGACAUACUCUAACCAGAGCUCUGAGUUUAUUAUGUGCCCGAGGCUGUUCAUGUGUUGUCUUACUUAAUCCUCAUAGCAAACAUUUGAAGUAGCCAACAGGAAAAUGAGGCUUAGAGUGACUAAGAAAUGUGCCCAGGGUUGUACAUCUAGCAAAUAGCAUGGAUAAGAUAUGAACCAAAGCAGCUUAACUUCAGAGCCUACACACUUAAUCACUGAACUCCUCUGUCUCCUGAGAAAUGGAAGUAACCUUCAAAUAAUCAUAUGCUGGUGAAUGAAAAAUAAAAUCCAUUAUCUACUUUCUGAGUUACUUGGCCACCCUUUUGGAAGGUGAAUAGGGAUUAGUUUUGUUGGUUUUACAAAUUCAUAAAAAGAGGCCUCCAUGAAAGUUUUGAAAUAAGUCUUUGUUCAUCUGUGUGCUGGCCCAGGUAAAACAACUGUUAUUGUUUUGGUGUACUUAAAUAGGACAUGUGUGUUGAUCUAAAAUAUACACUUAGAUUCAGUACUUAGAUCUGAGCUAGUGAGCUUUUCAUUGUAUGGUGAAUGACUUUUUCACAAUUAAUUGCUAAUGAGAUCCUCCAUUGCGUAGAAAAUAUUCAGAAUAAAACUUCAAAAUUUUAAUGAGUAAAAGUGACCAACGUUUGACCUGUUUUCAUAGACACAUAAUUGAACAAUAAGUAGCUAUCCUAAAAUAAUCAUGGACUCCAAUGGGAGUGUGGUUGAAAUGAUAAUUACUAUAUUACACUGAUUGAUUAAGGUUGUGAAAAGUUAUUAGUGCGAGGGUGAAGGGUCACAAAUUUACGUUGUCCUUAGUUUAAUUUGAAUUCUGUC